rnacentral:lncRNA from 1 species
AGGCUAACAAUCAGGAGGGACAGAGCCAUAAAUAAGUCCUUGCAGUGACUACAGUCAUUAUCCUGCCCUUCAGUAAAAAUAAGAAAUCAAUGAAUUACAGGUGAUGGGCAGAGACCAGUUGCCCAGGUCUCUCUGCAAGGCAGGAUUUGUUGUCCCAACUGCGAUGAAAGCUGUCAGCCCUCAGUCCUCAGCUGUCAGCCCUUUCAGGAUUCUCCUCACUCGAGGUCACCUGCUCUUGAUGGAUGCCAGUAUCUGGGCAAAACAGGAUUGCAUUGGUGAUAAACAGCUUUUGAGAGGAGUCACUAAAAUUAUGAGUCAUAUCCCCAUUGGCAUUUUUCAGGAGACACAAGUAAAUAUUGGAAUCACUUUUUAAUUACUCCGGAGUACUGGACUGUGCAUUUAAUAUUCCACUUCACAUAUUAAUAGAAUUUGAGACCCUGACUUUAUUGAGUGUAUUGGUAAGGGUAAUUACCACUAGCUGCUUUAACAAACAACCCCAGUUCUCAGAGUCU